rnacentral:lncRNA from 1 species
GCAGAAAGUGAUGAAUCAGAGGCUGAAGUGAAGUUACAAAGUUAUACUCCUAUGCAAAGGAAGACUUGGCCUGUGACCAGCCUGAUUGACUGCAGGAGGGGACCAGUCAGAGGUACUUACAAUUUUUUAUCUGACACUCAGAAAAGAUGGGGGUUGCAAAGGGAGUAGCCUUGAGUCCAUUUGUUACUUAGGCAUGGGAAGUUGGGGUUUUCCUUUUGAUUUAGUUUUAGGAAGUCAGUGUGAAUCAGCCUUAGAUGAUUAAAAAAGAUUUAAUUAAUCUCCGUGCCUCCAGACCCUAUUCUCCUGUCUCAAUACUACAGGAAAUGAUGAGUUUAGAAAAUAAUUGUCCAGCUUGCAGUUAGGAAAGAAAGUGAUUAUAGGAAGCUAUAAACUUGGAGACAUGCACGUUUAGAAGAUGCAAGUGAUUCUCAUUAUUAUUCAUUAAAAACAAAACUGAGAUGAGCAACAAAGGUUGAUUAGAACUCAACCUCUUGGCAAGGAUCAAAUUACGGGUGUGAUAGUCACACCCAUGACUAAAACCUCCGAAUAGAUUAAAGUGGUACCCCAUGAAUCUUUUCAGUUGAACAACAUGGCACAGGUCUUCCCAUGACAGAGCUGGAUAGAUUCAAGGUACCUACAAGAAAGAAUUAAAAGAGAAAGUUGUGACUUAGUGCAGUGGAGACACACACAAUCAUGGUAUGUGGAGCUAGCUUGAAUCAAAUAUGGAAGAAGCUGGCUAAAUUUUUGAGAGACAUGCCAAAAUAGCUAUCAGUCAAGACUAAAGGAAACUGUAAAUAGACUCCAAGUGGGAGUGGGGCUUCAACCUUCUGUGGACAGAGUUGUCUGAGAACGCUGCUCAGACUUUAAGGAGAUCACAUUUUCCAGUGCUCACUUAAGGACAAGGAGGCCGGGUAUAGUGGCUCAUGCCUGUAAUCCCAGCACUUUGGGAGGUCGAGGCGGGUGAAUCACGAGGUCAGGAGUUUGAGACCAGCCUGGCCAACAUAGUGAAACCCCAUCUCUAC